CACGUAGGGCGCAAGCGUUGUCCGGAAUUAUUGGGCGUAAAGAGCUCGUAGGCGGUCUGUUACGUCUGCUGUGAAAACCCGGGGCUUAACCCUGGGCUUGCAGUGGAUACGGGCAGACUAGAGGCAGGUAGGGGAGAAUGGAAUUCCCGGUGUAGCGGUGAAAUGCGCAGAUAUCGGGAGGAACACCGGUGGCGAAGGCGGUUCUCUGGGCCUGCACUGACGCUCAUGCACGAAAGCGUGGGGAGCAAACAGG
rnacentral:rRNA from 1 species